rnacentral:rRNA from 1 species
UACAGAGGUCUCAAGCGUUUGUUCGGAUUCAUUGGGCGUAAAGCGCGCGUAGGCGGCUCGGAAAGUCGGUCGUGAAAUGCCGGGGCUCAACCCCGGGACUGCGUCCGAUACUUCCGGGCUGGAGGUAGGUAGGGGAGAUCGGAAUUCCUGGUGUAGCGGUGAAAUGCGCAGAUAUCAGGAGGAACACCGGUGGCGAAGGCGGUUCUCUGGGCAUUACCUGACGCUGAGGAGCGAAAGUGUGGGGAGCGAACAGG